rfam:Ictidomys tridecemlineatus contig064693, whole genome shotgun sequence.
UUUCAAAUAUAAAAGUAAUAUGAUUUUUGUAGUAAUCAGGACAGGCUAAAUAUUCACUAUAUUAAGACCAUACAUAAUGUCCCCAGAUGUAGUUCUUUCCCUGGGUCUGGUUUUAUAAAUGCUGGUGAUAAAU